UCUCGUGCCGAUCCUCUGCUACUCCGCCCCCCGCCGCCCUCGCCUCCGGCGCCGUCGUCCCUCUCUUCCCUCCCGCCGCUCCUCCGCCGUCGUCCUCCCCGGCCGCCGCACAGAUCUGGCACGAGCUCGCACUUCCCACCCCCAUUUCCCCCAGCAGCUCGCCGCCUAGGUCGGUGCCCCGACCUCAGUCGCCCUCCUCUCUACCGUCGCCUGCCAGCCUGCGCCCCAGCCCGGUAGCUCAGCUUGUGGCCGCCAGUUGCCUUCUUCCAAGCCCGUGGCCGAAACCAAGUAAAGUAUUUGCACAGUUAAGUUACACGCACCACAACUGCGUAUCCCCGUGGGUUUUAAUACAUUCUGAGACAAACAUGGAAAUAUGACCUGAUAGUUUGGUUCAAGGAAAAAAGUUCAUAUUAUCAUGUUUGUAAGCUGG
rnacentral:lncRNA from 1 species